rnacentral:rRNA from 1 species
UAGGGAAUCUUCGGCAAUGGGGGCAACCCUGACCGAGCAACGCCGCGUGAGUGAAGAAGGUUUUCGGAUCGUAAAGCUCUGUUGUAAGAGAAGAACGUGUGUGAGAGUNAAAGUUCACACAGUGACGGUAACUUACCAGAAAGGGACGGCUAACUACGUGCCAG